rnacentral:rRNA from 1 species
UGGUGGCGAUGCGCUUAGGGGAAACACCCGUUCCCAUCCCGAACACGACGGUUAAGACCUAAGCGGCCGAUGGUACUGCAUUGGAGACGAUGUGGGAGAGCAGGUGGCCGCCAGAUC